GCAGUUACUGUUGGUCCUUGGUGGUCUCCCCAUGAAUACUCAUCACUGGCCUCACUGUUGCAUCUGUCUUGGCAUUCUCCCUAAAGUCAAUGAUGUAGCAAGUCCACGUGCUACAGAUGUAGCUCUGGUACAUAAGUGGCCCUGAGACAAGCUUGUAUCCCAGCGAGCAUCUUUGAAAUGGUCGGCUCAGUUUAACUCGGGUAGAGUAAGGGGUCAAAGUGAACAAAUCUAGCCAGAAGGACUUCAUUGAUGUGACAAUGUACAACUCCACCCAAAAGCUGUUGAUGGUGGUCCUCCAUCAGUAGAAUGGAGGCACCAUCCAGCCUGUGUCAGGUUCUGCAUGACAGAUGGUAGCUUCAAUUACAAGCUCUUAUUUCUGGAAACCAUUGGGUUGCCAGUACAACCAUAGGUUUUCUUCAUCACUGCAAAGAGGCAGAGGACGCCAAAUGAUCUGAGAUGACAAAAUUAUGACUUUGGGGGGGGGGGUUGUCUCUCAACAGCUUUUUGGUAUUAUUCUGGAAUUUACUCUUCCUUGUCUGCCCACUCAUCUUUCAUAAAGCAGAUCCAAUUCUUAAUGGUCUGUGACCUUGACCAAUGUUUUUAUUCCUGUACAGUUGGGACAAACUUCUUUUCCAUCAUAGGACGACUGCACUGUUGUGCCUUCAUAAGCUUCCUCUAUGGGGUGCCAUCCAUAGCUCAGGGCCAUGUGCAGUUUCCUGUGCCCUUACCAUCUGCCUCUUUGUCCCAAGAUAAAAAGGGAAAUGAAGGAAACGAAGCUUAAAUCUUGUUGUUGUUUAGAAAAAAAAAACAAACAAACAAAAAAAAAACUUUAAAGCCCCUUUAAUUUAAAAAAAAAAAAGAAAGAAAGAAAAAAAAAUGACGUUUGAAAGAAUCCUGGGAAGAACCAAAAUUGUUCUCAGUGACACCCAAAAUAAGAUGCUGUUUCUGUACUCUCUGCCACUGGCUUUUUCUAGGCUGCGGUUAAAGAGAUAACAGUCUUGCUCAACCUCAACCAGCUAUAGUGAGCUCCAGAGACAGAGGCUUCCCUCCCCAAGAAACGUGAAAGAGGACACAAUCACAUCAUGCCGUGGCUGGUACAAUAGACUCCUCCAUAACCUUCCUCUGGCAAAAUGGUAACAAGCCCAUGAGGUGCGAUGGCAAAGCUUCAUUUCUACCCUGUGGUCAUCUAUGCCAUCCCCCUGAAUUCAUUCUAUGUGGGAGAAGGUUUACAGAAGGGUAGCGGCAUGAAGGAGCCAUUGAGUGGAUGGAAAUUAUAGCAGUGGAUGCAGUGGUGUGUCUUAGCUUCACUGGGCAUCUGAGAUGGACAUAAGCAUCUAUGUAAACAUGGAUCCAGGUGAAGGAAAGGAGGCAGUGACUCUCUGGGAUACAGCUGAAAUCCCUUCUUCCAAGCCCUGGAGAUCCUGGCCGAGUGCUUCAGGUCAUUUGACCAUUGUGGACAAAUAUAUCAACAAAUGCCACUCUCUGGUUGCUUUGUUUGUGACACAGAGGUCUCUUUAAAGGUGAUGGUAUCCACAGCGCCUAUUCUGGGAUGGUAUUAGAAUCUAAACUUGCCUGUGGGUUUGGGGAAGACAAAUGACCUAGGCUGUGAGGAAGGCUCUGACACAAGGCCAAUCACUCUCUAGUGGCAUCAGUAUGAAACUGACAACUGCCCUCACCGUGGUACUCGCACCAGACUGAUCAACCUUCCCAGCUGUACCUUUCUGCAACCUGGGUUCUAUGGUGCUGAUGGGUUAGCUCCAUCUUGUACGGGCUUUGAUUGGUGGCUCUUUCCCAACGUUUUUUAUGGCCCAGUUUGUCACAGCCCCCAUGUCUAGCAUUAUCAAAGCUGCUGUCAUGGCUGUCUUCAAAUAUGUCACCCUCAGAAUG
rnacentral:lncRNA from 1 species